GACGGAAGGUGCAAGCGUUGCUCGGAAUCACUGGGCGUAAAGGGUGCGUAGGCGGCGCGGUAAGUCGGGUGUGAAAGCCCUCAGCUCAACUGAGGAAGUGCGCCCGAAACUGCAGAGCUUGAGUGCCGGAGAGGGUGGCGGAAUUCCCCAAGUAGAGGUGAAAUUCGUAGAUAUGGGGAGGAACACCGGUGGCGAAGGCGGCCACCUGGACGGUAACUGACGCUGAGACGCGAAAGCGUGGGGAGCAAACAGG
rnacentral:rRNA from 1 species